AGUAACAGUGAUAUAGAAAGGGUAGUAGAUACCUGGAAUAGCCUUCCGGUGGGAGCAGUAACAGUGAUAUAGAAAGGGUAGAAGAUACCUGGAAUAGCCUUCCAGUGGGAGCAGUAACAGCGAUUAUAGAAAGGGUAGUAGAUACCUGGAAUAGCCUCCCAGUGGAAGCAGUAACAGGGAUAUAGAAAGGGCAGUAGAUACCUGGAAUGGCCUUCCAGUUGAAGCAGUAACAGUGAUAUAGAAAGGAUAGUAGAUACCUGGAAUAGCCUUCCAGUGGGAGCAGUAACAGGGAUAUAGAAAGGGUAGUAGAU